CAAGGUCAGCUUGGACUACACAGGGAGUUGUAGACCACCUCUAUAGUGACACCUUGAUUCAAAAAAAUUCUGGAUGGGUAAGAUGGCUCUGGGGAUAAAGGUUCCUGCUGGAAACACAUGAUGGUCUAGUUAAAUCCCUGGAACCUACUAAAGUCUGCAUCCACAGGCGGACGCCUGCCUCUACAAAGGAGUUGGUAACUGCUACAGCUUGAAUAUCUUUCAUCCCUACCAAAAUUCAUGUUGGAGUCCGGUGCCGGUGCCGCAGUGAAUGGUGGAAUUACCCAACCUCACGUGUUCUGCUGGAACAACAGUCAACAAACAGAGAACAAUUGCCUGGCCCAUAUGCACUCAACUUACAUGCUCUAAGAGAAAAAAAAGAUUAUACCCCUACCACAUCCUCAGAGACUGGAGAUGCCGAUUCAUUAGGACCCUGGUCCCAUCCUGAAAUAUCCAAGGCAAUGCUGGGUAGGUGGUAAAGUAUCUCCUCAGUGUACAAGGUCCUGAGUUCAAGCACCAACAUCAGAGGAUAUAACCCGGAAGUAGAGACUAAUGUGUGGCCAACUCCUCUGAUUUAGGGGAGCCAGGAAACUAUGAACUGAAAGGUUUUACUCAGUCUGUAAGCGCAGUGGAGAACGGAAAGGUAACAAGGGGUCAUUGGAAAUCAAAUAACAAAGAAAGUCCACCUAAAAGAUUCGACGAGUAUCAAAACAGCCACAAGAAAAUGACAGACGAACCCAGGUCUUGCAAGACACAGAUGGUGCCAGCCAGGGAAUAGGAGACAAUCACAUGCUCCGGGUACCCACGGGCUCCGCUCAGCUAGGCCCAAUUAUGCUCCAGAAGCCUGCUAUACUCCGAGGCUGGGGAGUAUAAUGUCAUGUACUAAUAGGGCGGUAAAGUAUGUGAUUCCUAAUAAAAUGCCCAUUGCCCGGUUAGAGGCGUUCUCCUUGGAA